rnacentral:rRNA from 1 species
UACGGGGGGGGCAAGCGUUGUUCGGAAUUACUGGGCGUAAAGGGCUCGUAGGUGGCCAACUAAGUCGGACGUGAAAUCCCUCGGCUUAACCGAGGAACUGCGUCCGAUACUGAAAGGCUUGAAUCCGGGAGAGGGAUGUGGAAUUCCAGGUGUAGCGGUGAAAUGCGUAGAUAUCUGGAGGAACACCGGUGCCGAAGGCGGCAUCCUGGACCGGUAUUGACGCUGAGGAGCGAAAGCGUGGGGAGCGAACAGG